rnacentral:rRNA from 1 species
AGCGAACGCUGGUGGCAGGCUUAACACAUGCAAGUCGAGCGGGCAUCUUCGGAUGUCAGCGGCAGACGGGUGAGUAACACGUGGGAACGUACCCUUCGGUUCGGAACAACUCUGGGAAACUGGAGCUAAUACCGGAUACGCCCUUAUGGGGAAAGGUUUACUGCCGAAGGAUCGGCCCGCGUCUGAUUAGCUAGUUGGUGGGGUAACGGCCUACCAAGGCGACGAUCAGUAGCUGGUCUGAGAGGAUGAUCAGCCACACUGGGACUGAGACACGGCCCAGACUCCUACGGGAGGCAGCAGUGGGGAAUAUUGGACAAUGGGCGCAAGCCUGAUCCAGCCAUGCCGCGUGAGUGAUGAAGGCCUUAGGGUUGUAAAGCUCUUUUGUCCGGGACGAUAAUGACGGUACCGGAAGAAUAAGCCCCGGCUAACUUCGUG